UGUGACCUCAGUCUUCAGGGUAUGCAGUAAAGGAUUAACUUUGCCCUGGAGAGGUUUGGCCCUUUUGCUCCCAGCUGCAGGGCUGUAAUUUCUAAGCCCUUGGAAUGUUCUGCCUGUAGGAGUGUCUUUGUUUACUGGAGGUCUUGAGCAAUACCAGAUAGUCUGUGCUUACAAUGUAACUUUUGGUGGGGGGGCCUUUGGACAUGUGGUACCACUCAAGCUCCAGAGGGGUUAGAGACUAAGGGUAGUCACAUGGGUGAACAGAAUGUCCGAAUGGCCAACUCCCAGUAAAAACUCUGGACAACAAAGCUUGGAAGGAGAGGAAAAGGCCCAACACCUGCCUGUCAGGGCUCCUGGAUCACGCCCUGCUGCCUGCUGACCUAUAUUGGACUCGAGCCCUUCUUCUGGCAUGCUCACCUGUUAACCCACCUAUCAGCCCACACCUCUGACUGCUGGCUGCUCCCCAUUGAGCCUGAAAUACUGUGCUAUCUGCCUGUACCCUUUUGCAUAAGCUGGGGUUGGGUUAUCUCAGAUUUCUAUUUGGGUCAAGAUUGCCACAUACCUCACCUCUUCUGUUCUGGUCCUCAUCCUGUGUUCCUGGACAAAAAUAACAUUUGAGUAGAAAGCUUUUCUACUUGUUGACAUAGUUGAACAGAUUUUGCUUUAUUGAGAUGAAAUGGAGCCUAAAUUUAUCUGGAAAUGUGUGGAAUCAGUAGAGAGAAGUAAACACAACUCGAAGAAAGCGGGAAACCCCUGUGUACAAUUCAGCUUUUUCACUCCCAGGGAGUUGGGCAUGAUUGUAAAGAAUGAUGUUUUCAAGCCUGCCAAUAACAGAACACGUCUGUAUCCAUUGUGGAUGGGCUUCUUUGAGAAAGCUUCCUUUUCGCCCAAGUAGAGGAGCUCUUCACUGCCCUAAGAUUCUGCUUUCCUACUCCCAUGUCAGAGCAGGAAAAGGUGAAUAUUUUUCACACAGAAUAGCCUCAUCCAUUCCCACGGGGAGUGAGAUAGUUCCUGUAGGGUGCUAGUGAUGGCAUAAAAUUACAGCUCACUAGAGAAACAGUUGCGAGUAAAGAAAUAUAUACAUUUCCUCUAUUUGUGUUCCCUGUCUGUGUUGUCUAAGUUGCAAACAACAGACUCCACUUCAGCUAGGUUAAAGGGAAAAGAGGUUUAAUAAAGAAAAUUAAAUAGCUUAUAGCAUCACUGGGGAACUAGAGAAACAGAUUUAAGGCUAAGCUUCCAGAAACAUAUCCCAAAACAUGCCCCCAAACCGUGACACUGACAUGAAGAGACAGUUGUCAUUGCUGCUUUAUUGAACAGAGGACUGAGAAUUUUUCUACAGUCACUGCUGUUCUCUGCACUGAUGGAAGCCAAGCCUGCCUGGAGAACUCAACUUUGCAACCCAAAGCUGGUGGCUAAUGUGGCUACCCCUACCAACAAAAUGGAAACUCCACCAGGUGUCUGAAUCCAGCUCUCACGACCAUUUAGUGGAGCAGGAAGAAACUGCAGGCCUUUUGGAGGUAUUUCCUUGUGAUUCUGGUCCAAUCCACCACCACCGUCUCACGCUUAGAACCCUGCAAUCCUUCAGAAUUCUCAUUUUAGGCCUAUUAUUUGCAGAACAGGAUGACAUUUACCUGAAUUGGAAAGAUGAACGGGAGACAUAAUUUUACCUCUGGAGCCCAUUUGGGAGAAGAGAGAUAGGUUACAAAGACCAACAUUGCAAGUGGUGGAGAAAACACUGACUUGAGUGUUGCUCAAAUCUUCACUGAGGAAUUGUUCUCUGAGCUCAGCCUGGCCUUAGAAAAUAACAGAGUUCUUCAAAGUAACUAAGAGGGGGAGAAGGAAUUUUUGAGCUGAAGGAAGCAUGUGAGUAACUAAUUAUCUAAUAAAUUAUAUGAGUGCUUGAAAAAGAAGCAACAGCACACCCUUAUUCAUCUGGCGUGGCUAGAGUGUGAGCCUUAGGGAAGGGCAGAAGUACAGAAUGCGUUUGAAUAGGUAGGCUGGGGUUAUAUCGCAAGACCCCUUG
rnacentral:lncRNA from 1 species